UGAGUAUAGUGGCGCACGGGUGAGUAAUACAUAGGAACGUACCCAUUAGUGGGGAAUAACCACGGGAAACUGUGGCUAAUACCGCAUGACGACGCGAGUCCAAAGCAGGCCUCUGUUUACAAGCUUGCGCUGAUAGAGCGGCCUAUGUCCCAUUAGCUAGUUGGUAGGGUAAUGGCCUACCAAGGCGACGAUGGGUAACUGGUCUGAGAGGAUGAUCAGUCACACUGGGACUGAGACACGGCCCAGACUCCUACGGGAGGCAGCAGUGGGGAAUAUUGGACAAUGGGCGCAAGCCUGAUCCAGCCAUGCCGCGUGGGUGAUGAAGGCCCUAGGG
rnacentral:rRNA from 1 species